rnacentral:rRNA from 1 species
UGGGGAAUUUUGCACAAUGGGGGAAACCCUGAUGCAGCGACGCCGCGUGAUUUAGAAGGCCUUCGGGUUGUAAAAAUCUUUUGUAUAGGAAGAAAAUGACAGUACUAUACGAAUAAGGUCCGGCUAAUUACGUGCCAGCAGCCGCGGUAAUACGUAAGGACCGAGCGUUGUCCGGAAUCAUUGGGCGUAAAGGGUACGUAGGCGGGUCACUAAGUUAGAAGUCAAAGGCUAUAGCUCAACUAUAGUAAGCUUCUAAAACUGGAGACCUUGAGUAAUGGAAGGGAAAGUGGAAUUCCUAGUGUAGCGGUGGAAUGCGCAGAUAUUAGGAGGAAUACCGGUGGCGAAGGCGACUUUCUGGCCAUUAACUGACGCUGAGGUACGAAAGCGUGGGUAGCAAACAGGAUUAGAUACCCUGGUA